CUUGUGCGUGUGACAGCGGCUAUU
rnacentral:ncRNA from 2 species